rnacentral:lncRNA from 1 species
ACUUUUCACCAUGAUUGGAAUUCCAACCGUGAUGAAAAGUGGCUUUUGGUCAUGGUCUCGAAUCCCAACAUCAACAUUUUUAUUUUUUUUACUUAAUUUUAAGCCUUUUUUACCACGGUUGGGAUUUCAACCGUGGUGAAAAAUGGCGUUAGGUCUUAGGUUCGAAUCAGAACACCAAUAAUUUUGUUUUUUGUUUAUUUUUAAGUCACUUUUCAC